rnacentral:rRNA from 1 species
GACGAACGCUGGCGGCGUGCUUAACACAUGCAAGUCGAACGGAAAGGCCCUGCUUUUGUGGGGUGCUCGAGUGGCGAACGGGUGAGUAACACGUGAGUAACCUGCCCUUGACUUUGGGAUAACUUCAGGAAACUGGGGCUAAUACCGGAUAGGAGCUCCUGCUGCAUGGUGUGGGUUGGAAAGUUUCGGCGGUUGGGGCUGGACUCGCGGCUUAUCAGCUUGUUGGUGGGGUAGUGGCUUACCAAGCCUUUGACGGGUAGCCGGCCUGAGAGGGUGACCGGCCACAUUGGGACUGAGAUACGGACCAGACUCCUACGGGAGGCAGAAGUGGGGAAUAUUGCACAAUGGGCGGAAGCCUGAUGCGGCAACGCCGCGUGCGGGAUGACGGCCUUCGGGUUGUAAACCGCUUUCGCCUGUGACGAAGCGUGAGUGACGGUAAUGGGUAAAGAAGCACCGGCUAACUACGUG